UAUUUGAAGAGUUUGAUCAUGGCUCAGAUUGAACGCUGGCGGCAGGCCUAAUACAUGCAAGUCGAACGAGAAAGCAUCUUCGGAUGUGAGUACAGUGGCGGACGGGUGAGUAAUACAUAGGAAUCUACCCAAUGGUGGGGGAUAGCUCGGGGAAACUCGAAUUAAUACCGCAUAAUCUCUACGGAGUAAAGGGGGCUUCGGCUCUCGCCAUCGGAUGAGCCUAUGAAGGAUUAGCUUGUUGGUGAGGUAAUGGCUUACCAAGGCAACGAUCCUUAGCUGGUUUGAGAGGAUGACCAGCCACAUCGGGACUGAGACACGGCCCGGACUUCUACGGAAGGCAGCAGUAGGGAAUAUUGGACAAUGAGCGAAAGCUUGAUCCAGCCAUGCCGCGUGUG
rnacentral:rRNA from 1 species